rnacentral:tmRNA from 1 species
GGGGCUGACAUGGAUUUGACAGCAGGAUGAGAUGUCAUGUAAGCACGCAGAGAGUUGUUGGCCGCUCUCUAUAAUAUCAGACCUUCAAGAAUUUAUCUGGCGAAAACACUUACGCUCUCGCUGCCUAAUCGAAGUACAGUAGAUUACUGGCUUUAUCUCGGCACCAGGUGCUGAGACGAGAUGUCACUCUGAGGUUCACGCCCUGAAACUCUCAGGCUCAGUGGCACAGCAAAUCGGGGAUAGUCAUUGAGGACGCAUCUACUCGGUGAUGAAAUUCUUAGAUGCUAAGGUUGCGAUUGGUGGUCCGGGUCUUGUCGCUUCCCUACAACCGAAGUCCGGAAUAAGCGUGUAGAAAGCAUGGGAUGUCCCUGUUUGGACGAGGGUUCAAUCCCCUCCAGCUCCACA